UAUUCACAAGGGUCGUCCUCUCUCUCGAUCUCUUGCGUGUUCGCAUAAGUCAAGAGAAGAACCGAAGCCCUCUCCCCCCAUUGGCACGCUGCAGACGUCUGAACUCCCUUCCCUCUCUGUCUCUCUGCGUUUGCACAAGCCAGGGGCGGAACCCCUCCCUCCUUUCUCCUCUGUUCGGACCGAACUAGGAGGCGAACACCCCCCUCUCUCACGAUCUCUCCCUCGGUGCUCGCGAGCAACAGCCAGGCCGAACCUCCUUCAACGACUUUGCUCCCGUCUCCCCUUGGUUUGGACAAGACCCGACGCCGAGUCCUUCCUCUCUUCGUCAAUCCCUCUGUUUGCACAAGCAGGAGGAAGCCGAAGUCCUUCCGCCUCGCCGUUCUAGCGACUCAACCGAACCUACACCUAGCUCUACUCUUCGUUGCAGGUGGAGGAAACAAAGAGAUGCUGCAGCAAUGGCACCAAUCAAUGGCGAUAUCACAUAGAUCCAAAGCUUGGUAUAAUUAUUAGUAGCGAUUGCUGGUCCAAUGCUCCUUGCUGGAUUCAUGGAAGCUCCUGUUACUCUCCUGUAUUUUGAGAUACAAAUUGUGAUUAGUAAAGGGUUUUCAUGGC